GUGAAUCAUCGAAUUUUUGAACGCAAAUUGCACUCUCUUCGGAGAGUAUGCCUGUUUGAGGGUCAGUAUUAAUAAAAAUCGGUGUGUUGCUUCUUUGUGACGCUCCGGAGUUUGGGUCAUCUUAAUAUCCUUAGGGUUUUAAGGGCCUAAAAAUGAACUUUUUUUCGGCAUUUUGGAUGAACUUAAUUUUUUUUUUUUAUUGUUCUGUUUUAU
rnacentral:misc_RNA from 1 species